UUAAAGUGGUACGCGAGCUGGGUUCAGACCGGCGUGAGCCAGGUCGGUCCCUAUCUGCUGUGGGCGUAGGAAUCUUGAGAGGAUAUUUCUCUAGUACGAGAGGACUGAGAAGUACUGACCUCUGGUGUACCGGUUGUCCUGCUAAGGGCACAGCCGGGUAGCUAAGUUGGGAAAGGAUAAACGCUGAAAGCAUCUAAGCGUGAAGCCCACCUCAAGAUUAGGAUUCCUUUGAUCUUCGGAUCAUGAAGAGCCGUUGUAGACUACAACGUUGAUAGGCUGGAUGUGUAAGUCCCGAGAGGGAUUCAGCUAACCAGUACUAACGCUCGAACGCUUGACCAUAUCU
rnacentral:rRNA from 1 species